rnacentral:lncRNA from 1 species
GGAUUGGUGACCUACUAACAGUGACCCUGUGGCUCUGUGGAAUUUUGAAGUGCCUUUUGUGAAUCAUGAAUGAAACAUUUAACUUGAGACCCUUUAAAAAAUUCAUCCAGAAUCUGUUACCCCUUGGGUAGUUUGAUGGAACUGAGUUAAGCAGAAGACCCCAGCUGUUUUCUGGGUAAGCCAGGCUUUGCUGUAUCUGGCAGUCAGGAGAGAGGUCAGCCCAUGGUGGAGGUCUUCAGUGCCGAGGGCUCGGAUGAGAACGUGUAGUUCUUUGACUUGGACCUGGGCAGCGUCUUCUAUGGAUGCCUGCCUUGUGAGCACCCACACCUUCCCUCCCCACUGUCGGGUUGAGUAGCCCCAGCGUGGCUGUGUUAGGAGUCCUUUGCCCAACAUUGUGCUGCACUGGAGCCUGGCCCUGGCACUGUCCUCAGGACCCUGCCCAAGGGCCCACCGCAGAGCACACCUAUGCUAUGGGGAGCCCUGCUGGCAGCCCCGAGAGCCAUGCCAUGGCCUGCAGGAGCCAGGCUCCUGUGUGGAUGAAGUCCCUCUUCCUCUGUGCCUUGAUCCCUUGGGGGUGCCUUUGGUCAUCUCUUCUGUCCUUUCCUGUCUCUGAAAUAGUCAUCACUCCCCUUGACUCUCUCUGUUCACGUCUUCUCAGUCUGCAGAGUUAACUUCUGUAAGGAGUUUAAUCUGGGGUUCCAAGAAAACAAGUUCCUUGUUAACAUAGCACUGACUUUGCAACAAUAGAAAACUAACAAAUGAGCAACAAUAUAAAGAGUAGAGGUAGUUCUCAUUGGGUGUAACUUCAACCCAUUCUGCUUGUGGUUAGAAUUUAUAAUUUUGCUAACGAUGUAAUUUACUAAGGUUUGAAAUGGUAUUCUAACAGUGAGUCCAUUGUCUUGAGGAUUAAUCUGAUUUAUAAGUAAUACUGAUAGACAUAUUUUCGUACAUCUGAGCAGAAAUAAAUGCAUGUUUCUAGCAUAUGUAAUAUAAAAACUCCAGAGGAUAAGUUUACACUUAACAAGAUGUUGUUUUCUAUUUUUGAAUUUCUUAUUAUUUCCCCCUUUUUGGUAGUGGAGUUGAGAGGGGGAGCAUACUAUUUGUAUAAAGAACUGUCACCCCAGAGUGACAUUUAUUUUCCAAGAUGACCCUGAACUCAUGCUGUUGGUUUCAUAUGGUGUUUGUGUGCUUUGCCUAGAUUCAAGGCCUGAGGAUUUGAGGAAAAUCGGGAUUUUUUUUUUCCUAUUUGGUUUUCAUGUAAAAGUUCUAAAUGUCACUUAUUUUGCUAAAUAAGACCCUUUCACAGGAUAGUGUGCGCAAUACCUGUCCGUGUUUCCAAGCAGAGUUCAAGUUCAUGUCUUCACAAGUAGAUGAGAGUCACUUCCAGUCGGGGGAAGCCCGCCUGAGCAGUGUUUUGAGAGUGCGUACAUUGGAGGACUGCCCCACGUCCGUUUGCACUCUGCCUUGCAAAACUUACUGUGGAGACGUGUCCCAGACUGGUCUCAGACCAGAGUUUGUGGCACAGGAAAACCUGGCCCCCUAAAAAGAAGUUUUGGAAUUGGAAGCCUGAUAAUUUCGGGAGGCUGAGGCAGGAGAACGGCGUGAACCCGGGAGGCGGAGCUUGCAGUGAGCCGAGAUCGCACCACUGCACUCCAGCCUGGGUGACAGAGCAAGACUCCGUCUCCCAAAAAAAAAAAAAAAAAAAAAAAAAAGGAAACCUGACAAUUCUACCCACCUCCCCCCACCCCCGACUAUAGGCAAAGAGAGUUGAUCACUUCCAGGGUCUCUGACUUCUGUGACCUGGAAAUCAGCCUGGCUUGGGAAAUUCAUGUUGUUGAUCUUUAAUUAUUUAAUUAUUCUUUAAUAAUCCUUCUAUUUUCUUGACAUCUGACCCCCAGCAAGAGUAAGGAUCCCAGAGGUCAAAACAGUGGUGAGAGCCAAGCUGCUCACAGACACCCACUUGAUGCCACAGCCAUGCCAUGAGGCUUCCUCCCAGCUGCUCUGCUGGCUUGCUGAAGCCAGCUCUGAGUCACAGGGUUGCCUUGGACCCUCGGCUGUAGGGGGCACCUGUCUGGCUCCGGGCCCUUUGUCCUGGAUACACUGACAGUAAUGUGAGCGCAGCACUUCAGAGUUCAGGCCCAGCAGGUCCUGGCAAGUGCAUUCCACCCGAACUUUUAACCCAAGCGGUGGGGAAGGAAGCCAAAACUCCAAGCUGCACUUUCUUGGGGUUCUGGCCAUGCACUUCUUAGCCUUCUCUCUGACUUUACAGGACAAAAGGUACCCCACGCCUUCAGAAUCAUGCUUACCUGCACGGCAGCAUCUGACUGGAUGGCUGGCUAGGUCUCAUCCACCCCAAAUUACUGACCCUUGAUUUAUGUUGUUACUGCUCAGGUUAUGCUCAGAUGCCCUGGUUGCCUGAAGAUGGUUUAAGUGCAGGCCCUUCAGACAAGUCACGUCAGGCAAGAGAGGGCUGGCCUCUGACCCACAAGAGGGCAGAUUUGUGGCCAAGAGGCUUCCUGGCAUCCACCCCCAGGCCCAAGGGAUCAGUGUGGUGCCAGAGAGGAUCUUUAAGCUGGGACUGUACUGAGGCUUGAUGGGAAGUAUGGGCAGCAUGUACUUGACACGUUAUCACCCAGUCCCCUUGUAAAAUCUGGAAUGGAGCGUUUAAGCUGAGCGUUAGCAUCAGGUCAGCAGGCAAAGCAAACCUCCCACAAACUGGGUGCCGUAAGGUGGGAGGUGACACAUGGAGAGCUUCGUCCUGGCCGAGCAGGCACCCAGCCCCAUGUCCCCCGCCAGCAUUCUGGAUGUCAGAGGAGGGUGCGUGUGAUGGCGUCACAUUCAUCUGAAGCACACUGAUUGAUUUUCCACAAGGUGGCAAGUUUGAUCAAAUUGACCGCUUUUCAUGAGACACCCAGAUGCUGUAAAAAAAAAAAACAGCACUGGGAUGUGUUGAGGAGGGGGCAGUUUGCUGUGCUCUGUUCUGUCUGCUGCUCUCUCUGGGGGCCGCACAAUGUCCGCACACAUCACGGAGGGGAGAAAGGCAUCAGUACCAAACGGAACAACCUCUUUUUUCUACAUUGUCCAUACCCGGACAUGUGAGGCUCUAUUAUCAACAGGUGGUGAGAAAAAUUAUGUUUUUAUUCGCUUUCUGGUAACUUCUGUAGGCCCUGGCUCAAGGACUUAGCAUUUCGUCUCAUGUACAUCUUUUUCUUAAGUGUUCUUUGCCAUUUCUGGAAUUGUCCUUGGUUUUUCCUUAGCUCAUAGGUCAUAGAUGCAGAAAUAUAGUAUUUAAGGCAUCCGCAUCCAGCAUCAGAUGGCUUUGCAUCCAGAAAAACAUUGAUAACUCAGUUUGAAGCACCAAGCAUGUGUAAUAUGGCUCUAUACAAUAUAAUAAAUGCAUAAUGUUAAGCUU